GACGAACGCUGGCGGCGUGCCUAAUACAUGCAAGUAGAACGCUGAAGGAGGAGCUUGCUCUUCUGGACGAGUUGCGAACGGGUGAGUAACGCGUAGGUAACCUGCCUGGUAGCGGGGGAUAACUAUUGGAAACGAUAGCUAAUACCGCAUAACAGUAGAUGUUGCAUGACAUUUGCUUAAAAGGUGCAAUUGCACCACUACCAGAUGGACCUGCGUUGUAUUAGCUAGUUGGUGGGGUAACGGCUCACCAAGGCGACGAUACAUAGCCGACCUGAGAGGGGGAUCGGCCACACUGGGACUGGGACACGGCCCAGACUCCUACGGGAGGCAGCAGUAGGGAAUCGUCGGCAAUGGACGGAAGGCUGACCGAGCAACGCCGCGUGAGGGAAGAAGGUUGUCGGAUCGUAAAGCUCUGUUGUAAGAGAAGAACGAGGGUGAGAGUGGAAAGUUCACACUGUGACGGUAGCUUACCAGAAAGAGACGGCUAACUACGUG
rnacentral:rRNA from 1 species